AUGAACGCUGGCGGCGUGCCUAAUACAUGCAAGUCGAACGCUUCACUUCGGUGAAGAGUGGCGAACGGGUGAGUAAUACAUAAGUAACCUGGCAUCUACAGGGGGAUAACUGAUGGAAACGUCAGCUAAGACCGCAUAGGUGUAGAGAUCGCAUGAACUCUAUAUGAAAAGUGCUACGGGACUGGUAGAUGAUGGACUUAUGGCGCAUUAGCUUGUUGGUAGGGUAACGGCCUACCAAGGCGACGAUGCGUAGCCGACCUGAGAGGGUGACCGGCCACACUGGGACUGAGACACGGCCCAGACUCCUACGGGAGGCAGCAGUAGGGAAUUUUCGGCAAUGGGGGAAACCCUGACCGAGCAACGCCGCGUGAAGGAAGAAGUAAUUCGUUAUGUAAACUUCUGUCAUAGAGGAAGAACGGUGGAUAUAGGGAAUGAUAUCCAAGUGACGGUACUCUAUAAGAAAGCCACGGCUAACUACGUGCCAGCAGCCGCGGUAAUACGUAGGUGGCGAGCGUUAUCCGGAAUUAUUGGGCGUAAAGAGGGAGCAGGCGGCACUAAGGGUCUGUGGUGAAAGAUCGAAGCUUAACUUCGGUAAGCCAUGGAAACCGUAGAGCUAGAGUGUGUGAGAGGAUCGUGGAAUUCCAUGUGUAGCGGUGAAAUGCGUAGAUAUAUGGAGGAACACCAGUGGCGAAGGCGACGAUCUGGCGCAUAACUGACGCUCAGUCCCGAAAGCGUGGGGAGCAAAUAGGAUUAGAUACCCUAGUAGUCCACGCCGUAAACGAUGAGUACUAAGUGUUGGGUGUCAAAGCUCAGUGCUGCAGUUAACGCAAUAAGUACUCCGCCUGAGUAGUACGUUCGCAAGAAUGAAACUCAAAGGAAUUGACGGGGGCCCGCACAAGCGGUGGAGCAUGUGGUUUAAUUCGAAGCAACGCGAAGAACCUUACCAGGUCUUGACAUCCUACUAACGAGAUAGAGAUAUGUUAGGUGCCCUUCGGGGAAAGUUGAGACAGGUGGUGCAUGGUUGUCGUCAGCUCGUGUCGUGAGAUGUUGGGUUAAGUCCCGCAACGAGCGUAACCCCUGUUGCCAGUUGCCAGCAUUAAGUUGGGGACUCUGGCGAGACUGCCGGUGACAAGCCGGAGGAAGGCGGGGAUGACGUCAAAUCAUCAUGCCCCUUAUGACCUGGGCUACACACGUGCUACAAUGGACAGAGCAGAGGGAAGCGAAGCCGCGAGGUGGAGCGAAACCCAUAAAACUGUUCUCAGUUCGGACUGCAGUCUGCAACUCGACUGCACGAAGAUGGAAUCGCUAGUAAUCGCGAAUCAGCAUGUCGCGGUGAAUACGUUCUCGGGCCUUGUACACACCGCCCGUCACACCAUGAGAGUCGGUAACACCCGAAGCCGGUGGCCUAACCGCAAGGAAGGAGCUGUCUAAGGUGGGACUGAUGAUUGGGGUG
rnacentral:rRNA from 1 species